ensembl:lncRNA
AGGCUGCAGGCUUCAGCAGGACAGAGAUGGCUAUGCUAAACCAAGCCUGUGUUAAUGAGACAGCUCUGCAGGGAUGAGAAGAACACACACAGAGCAAGUUUGAAGACGUCUUCUGGCCCCCCAAAGGCUUUCAGUCGGUCUCUUCUAAGCAAGAAGGCAAAUACCGAAGAGCUUCUGAUGUUUUGCAAAUUCACCAGGUGGAGUAUCUGUCUGUCUGUCUUUGGGAUAUGCCAAAAGAUGACAACGACGGUGGAGCAGAAGAGCGUUUGACUUUCACCAGCGAGCCCCUCUGUUUGACAUCAUGUUUUCUUAAUGAGAGCCAGCUGCCCCCAACAUCAGCAUUCUCCUUCAUACCAGCAUGAAAAAACAUGAAAGUUAGAACUUUAAACAUGUCCAGAUUCCUUUGUACGCCAUGGGCAGUAUUAGCCUGCUCGUCAGCAUUACAAUCAAUGGUGCCUGUGAUCAUCAAGGGUGGAAAUGAGCGCUUAGCCUU